rnacentral:rRNA from 1 species
UACGUAGGGUGCGAGCGUUAAUCGGAAUUACUGGGCGUAAAGCGUGCGCAGGCGGUGAUGUAAGACCGAUGUGAAAUCCCCGGGCUCAACCUGGGAAUUGCGAUGGAGACUGCAAGGCUAGAAUCUGGCAGAGGGGGGUAGAAUUCCACGUGUAGCAGUGAAAUGCGUAGAGAUGUGGAGGAACACCGAUGGCGAAGGCAGCCCCCUGGGUCAAGAUUGGACGCUCAUGCACGAAAGCGUGGGAGCAAACGAGGA